GAUGAACGCUAGCGAUAGGCUUAACACAUGCAAGUCGAGGGGCAGCAUGGUCUUAGCUUGCUAAGACUGAUGGCGACCGGCGCACGGGUGCGUAACGCGUAUGCAACUUGCCUCACAGAGGGGGAUAACCCGUCGAAAGACGGACUAAUACCGCGUACACUCCAUCUUGGGCAUCCAAGGUAGAGGAAAUGAAAUUCGCUGUGAGAUAGGCAUGCGUCCCAUUAGCUAGUUGGUGAGGUAACGGCUCACCAAGGCGACGAUGGGUAGGGGAACUGAGAGGUUGAACCCCCACACUGGUACUGAGACACGGACCAGACUACUACGGGAGGCAGCAGUGAGGAAUAUUGGUCAAUGGGCGAGAGCCUGAACCAGCCAAGUCGCGUGAAGGAUGACUGUCUUAUGGAUUGUAAACUUCUUUUAUACGGGAAUAACAAGAGUCACGUGACUCCCUGCAUGUACCGUAUGAAUAAGCAUCGGCUAACUCCGUG
rnacentral:rRNA from 1 species